rnacentral:lncRNA from 1 species
CACACAUAUGUCCAGUAUCCAGGAUCACGCUGCUGACUGCAAUGAGGGGAGGCGUACUAGCAGUCUGUGUCAUGCACCCACUGCUCAGAAAAUGGCUCAGCUAGUUCUCUGCACUGCUUCAAGAGUCAUCAAGGACAGAAGUACAGCAAGAUCUUCCUGUACUCCAGAACACACAAUGAACACUGAAACAGACUUAACCAUGGCUAAAACCAGCAUGAUAAUUAAAAACAAACAACAAAAACUCUUUCCACUGAUAAAAUUUCAGUUGUUUAUAUCCAUUUGAUGUGGAAUAUAUCCCUCUGAUAAAGUCACUUCAAAGCUUAGACCAACCGCUUCAGAUGAGUCAAAGCUUGUCUCCAGAUGCAGAGGAAGUCAUUAUUUUUCUUCUAAAGAAGCACCAAGAAAUGUGACUUGGUUUGUUUUUCUUCUCUUGACAAAUGUCAUUGGAAACUACUUGACUACUUGACGUUUAACUACAUUAGACAAUGAAGAAAAUCUGCCUGUUGUCCAAAAGGCAGCAGUCACAUUGGAUGGAUUCUCUUAACCAGUAAAUUCAUUAUCACCUCUUUUAUUUAAGUUACAAUUUUGAAAACAUUUGUUUCCACAUCUCUUUGCUAAACAAAUCUGUAGGUACUUCUUUCCCACCCCUGGAAUAGAUGGUAGGCUGAUGCAGCCUUAUAUGUUUAUCCUGUCAUUCAAAAAUAAGGCUCACAACAUUAUGAAGGCUGCACAUUGACACCUCAGGAUGUUUAAUUGUUACCAGCUGAAAAUCUGAGUCAGGGGACACUAUAUGGACAGCAUUAAAUUAUGUCUUAAUUCAGGACUCCAUAAAAAGUAAAGCAGAGGAGAAUUAGGUCAUCAGGUUAUGUAUGUGCAACCUCAAGUUUUCAUACUGUCCAUGACAGAAUAUUAAAUGUCUGAGUUGAGAAAGAUAUGAGACUUAGUUCUGUUAUUUGCUUUUCAUGUCAGAACUAGAGCCUUUGCUAUCUGCUAUAUUUUCCUUUCAAAACCCA